UGCCCACUGAUAUAAAAUUAAAGGGCUGCAGUAUUUUGACUGUACAAAGGUAGCAUAAUCAUUAGUCAUUUAAUUGGUGACUUGUAUGAAAGAUUGGAUGAAAUAUAAACUGUCUUUUAAAUAAAUUAUAGAAUUUAAUUUUUUAGUUAAAAAGCUAAAAUAUUUUAAAAAGACGAGAAGACCCUAUAGAGUUUUAUUUAAUAUUUAAUUAAGAUUUUUUAUAAAUCUAAUAAUUUAAAUUUGAUUUUAAAUUUUAUUGGGGUGAUAGAGAAAUUAAAUGAACUUUUUUUUUAUAUAUAUAUAUAUAUAUAUAUAUAUAUAUAUAUAUAUUACAUAAAUAAAUGAAUUAAUGAUCCAGUUUUAUUGAUUAUAAGAGAAAUUACCUUAGGGAUAACAGCGUAAUUUUUUUUUUUAGUUCAAAUAAGAAAAAGAGUUUGCGACCUCGAUGUUGGAUUAAGAUAAAAUUUAAAUGCAGAAGUUUAAAAAUUUUGA
rnacentral:rRNA from 1 species